rnacentral:snRNA from 1 species
GGAUAUGAGGGCAAUCUGGCAACCACAUCUGUCAGCCCAUUGAUCACUUGGGCUGAUCUGGCUGGCUAGGCGGGUGUCCCCUUCCUCCCUCACCACUCCAUGUGCGUCCUUCCCAACGCUGCUCGCUUGAUCAAAGAGGAUGACCACUCCAGACAGAGAAGGAUGGUUUCUAUGGUGAAGGGCACAGGAGUUACUAUGCUCCCCUGCUUGAACCUCCAAACAAGCUCUCAAAAUAAAAAAUAAAAAGGGCCCUGAGUUCAGACCACAGUAUAAG